AACGAACGCUGGCGGCGUGCCUAACACAUGCAAGUCGAACGGAUUUGAGGGGCUUGCUCCUCAAGUUAGUGGCGCACGGGUGAGUAACGCGUAGAUAAUCUGCCCGACGAUCUGGGAUAACAGUUCGAAAGGACUGCUAAUCCCGGAUAAGCCCACGUGGUCUUUGGCCCGUGCGGGAAAAGGGGGGGACCUUCGGGCCUUCUGUCGUCGGAUGAGUCUGCGUACCAUUAGCUAGUUGGUAGGGUAAUGGCCUACCAAGGCUACGAUGGUUAGCUGGUCUGAGAGGAUGAUCAGCCGCACUGGAACUGAGACACGGUCCAGACUCCUACGGGAGGCAGCAGUGGGGAAUUUUGCGCAAUGGGCGAAAGCCUGACGCAGCAACGCCGCGUGAGUGAUGAAGGCUUUCGGGUCGUAAAGCUCUGUCGAGGGGAAAGAAGUGUAUUGUGGCUAAUAUCCACGAUACUUGACGGUACCCCUAAAGGAAGCACCGGCUAACUCCGUGCCAGCCGCCGCAGUAACAC
rnacentral:rRNA from 1 species